GCCCAGGUAGCUCAGUUGGUAGAGCAGUGGACUGAAAAUCCGCGUGUCGGUGGUUCGAGUCCGCCCCUGGGCA
rnacentral:tRNA from 2 species